GACGAACGCUGGCGGCGCGCUUAACACAUGCAAGUCGAGCGAGAACCAGGGCUUCGGCCCUGGGGACAGCGGCGAACGGGUGAGUAACACGUGGGUAAUCUGCCCUCGGCACCGGGAUAGCCCGGGGAAACCCGGAUUAAUACCGGAUGGCCCAUCCGCUUUUCGGAGCGGCUGGAAAAGGUAGCUUAGGCCUCCGGCCGAGGAGGAGCCCGCGGCGGAUUAGCUUGUUGGUGGGGUAAUGGCCCACCAAGGCGACGAUCCGUAGCUGGUCUGAGAGGACGAUCAGCCACACUGGGACUGAGACACGGCCCAGACACCUACGGGUGGCAGCAGUUUCGAAUCAUUCACAAUGGGCGAAAGCCUGAUGGUGCGACGCCGCGUGAGGGAUGAAGGCCUGG
rnacentral:rRNA from 1 species